rnacentral:rRNA from 1 species
GAAACCCAGUGUGACUCGUCACACUAUCAUUAACUGAAUCCAUAGGUUAAUGAGGCGAACCGGGGGAACUGAAACAUCUAAGUACCCCGAGGAAAAGAAAUCAACCGAGAUUCCCCCAGUAGCGGCGAGCGAACGGGGAGGAGCCCAGAGCCUGAAUCAGCAUGUGUGUUAGUGGAAGCGUCUGGAAAGGCGCGCGAUACAGGGUGACAGCCCCGUACACAAAAGCGCAUGUGCUGUGAGCUCGAUGAGUAGGGCGGGACACGUGGUAUCCUGUCUGAAUAUGGGGGGACCAUCCUCCAAGGCUAAAUACUCCUGACUGACCGAUAGUGAACCAGUACCGUGAGGGAAAGGCGAAAAGAACCCCGGCGAGGGGAGUGAAAAAGAACCUGAAACCGUGUACGUACAAGCAGUGGGAGCACAGGUUUACCUGUGUGACUGCGUACCUUUUGUAUAAUGGGUCAGCGACUUAUAUUCUGUAGCAAGGUUAACCGAAUAGGGGAGCCGGAGGGAAACCGAGUCUUAAUUGGGCGUUAAGUUGCAGGGUAUAGACCCGAAACCCGGUGAUCUAGCCAUGGGCAGGUUGAAGGUUGGGUAACACUAACUGGAGGACCGAACCGACUAAUGUUGAAAAAUUAGCGGAUGACCUGUGGCUGGGGGUGAAAGGCCAAUCAAACCGGGAGAUAGCUGGUUCUCCCCGAAAGCUAUUUAGGUAGCGCCUCGUGAAUUCAUCUCCGGGGGUAGAGCACUGUUUCGGCUAGGGGGCCAUCCCGGCUUACCAACCCGAUGCAAACUGCGAAUACCGGAGAAUGUUAUCACGGGAGACACACGGCGGGUGCUAACGUCCGUCGUGAAGAGGGAAACAACCCAGACCGCCAGCUAAGGUCCCAAAGUCAUGGUUAAGUGGGAAACGAUGUGGGAAGGCCCAGACAGCCAGGAUGUUGGCUUAGAAGCAGCCAUCAUUUAAAGAAAGCGUAAUAGCUCACUGGUCGAGUCGGCCUGCGCGGAAGAUGUAACGGGGCUAAACCAU